AUUGAACGCUGGCGGCAGGCUUAACACAUGCAAGUCGAGCGAGCGGCGGACGGGUGAGUAAUGUCUGGGACACUGCCUGAUGGAGGGGGAUAACUACUGGAAACGGUAGCUAAUACCGCAUACCAUCAGAUGUGCCCAGAUGGGAUUAGCUAGUAGGUGGGGUAAUGCCUCACCUAGGCGACGAUCCCUAGCUGGGCUGAGAGGAUGACCGGCGACACUGGAACUGAGACACGGUCCAGACUACUACGGGAGGGAGCAGUGGGGAAUAGUGCGCAAUGGGCGCAAGCCUGAUGCAGCCAUGCCGCGUGUGUGAAGGAGGCCUUCGGGUUGUAAAGUACUUUCAGCGGGGAGGCGUUACCCGCAGAAGAAGCACCGGCUAACUACGUGCCAGCAGCCGCGGUAAUUC
rnacentral:rRNA from 1 species